CCCCUCUCAGUAUUGUACCUGGAGAGUUUCCCGUACUCUACCAGUCUCAGCUACGGGAGGGAGAGUCAAGCAGAGGCAUAUCCAUUCCAUUCCUAGCUUGUAACUAGCAAAUGGAAGGUAAUUUGCUACACAU